UUAGUGUGUUUUGCAGGCUGGUGGACAAGGCUCUGUUCUGCUGCUUUUACUGAGGUUGUGAGCAUGUCUACACGGGGUGGGGGAAAGAGAGAGCAAUUUGAGGUGAAGUAACUCCCAGCUAAUCAGGAAGCACUGGAUGGGAUGGAGAGAAAGCAGAGAGAACAGGAGAAAGAGGGGAAAAAAGGAAAUGUAUCCUGUCAGAAGCAACACCUCAUCUCAGUUUGCAGACAAGAAGGGCUACCUUCAAAAGAAGCAAGGGAUGAGUCGCCUUACCUGAGUAGAGGAUGCUCAUGUGGACCUUAAAGUCAG